AAAGAAAGAAAGAAUCUAAUAUUAAUAACAUGCAUGGACCUCUGUGCCCGAAUCUUUUAUAAAUUACAUCUAUGAACUUGGUUAAACCUCACAGGGACAUUCCUUACCUGUGAGGUGAGGUGGCCUGCCUGCCUCAGGUCACUUAGCUAGAGGUGGUGAACCAGAAAGCAGAUGUAGUCUCCUCCGCUUAACCCCUCUCUCUGUAUAACCCGAGUACCCGGUAAUGCUAGGCCCUUUGUCUACACUAUCUCAUCGACUCAUCACCACCCCCAUUUUAUGGAUGAGGAAACCGAGGCUCAGUGCUGUUAAGUGACCUGCCCAAGUCCUAAGAUUCAAGAAGAACUGGAGUCAGGAUCUGACUGGAGCUGUCCAUCUCCAAAGCUGGAUCUCAGAAUCUCUGCUCUAUCCCUUGCCAAAAUAUGCCCUUUACACUGCAAUGCAUGGAAUGAAGAGCCUUCUUGGGGACAGACCCCAGAGGCUGCACAAUCCAGUACAGAAAGGGGCUCCUGAUGGCCACUUAGAGCCCUGUCCUGAGCAGCUGAAAACCCUUCCUCCUCAACCCCCCACUGUGGUGUGUCAUUGAGGCAUUAGACAGAGGGGGACGCCGAGGCCCAGGGGGACUAAGUCACUUGCACAAAGACACGUGCAUGUGUCUGCUUGAGGGGCAGUGUCAGAAUCUGAAAACAAGCUUUGUGCUGAGGGCCCAGGCCUAGGCAGUGGUGGCUUUGAUGGCACAGAACCUGAGAGCAGUGUCCAGGACAACGGGUGUGGGAGCCCCGUUUCCAUUUCUGCACCAUCCCCAUGUUACCCCAGGCUUCUCACCCGCCCCUCCACUUCUCCCUUCUCCUUCAGAAAUGUAGAGAAACUGCCACCCACCUUCUUCCCAGGAAUUUUGCAAAGAUUAAUUGGAUAAUUUCAGAAUAGCUCUUUGAGCGGCUUGAAGGAAAGGUGCCAUCUAGAAGAAUAAAGUAAAAUAACAAUAAUAAUUAUUCCAUUUAAAUGUAUUUAUGAAAAGCUCCACAGGAGCAAUUAAGAAGAUGCCGGCUUGUACUUGCGGAAAAUGCACAAGUUGAUGAAGUGCCCGUGUGCCUGCGAGGCCACCGGGUUGCUAUGGUGGUGUGAUAGGGUUGUGGUCCCAGAUCUGGACAGGGGAACGGGUGGGGGUGGGGAUGGGAGCUUCUGAGCUGGAACCACCCAGUCUUCUGGGCAAAAAUAACUUGCCUGUCCAUCUCAGGCCCCACAGGAAACGGCACUUGGCCUGACCCCAGGCUGGUUGCUGCAAAGUGCUCACACAGCUUUUCUAGAAAACUACAUUCCCUUGUCACCCACAAAAAAGAACUUACUUUCAGGGGCCUUGGCAUCUGUCUUCUUAUUAGUUACUGCCCGUUUACCACAGGGACAGCUGCGAGCCUCCACGGACUUGGUCACAUCUGCCUGUGGAACCUGUGUUUGUAUUUAGUGGUGGGCCUGGCAGAUAAUGAGGUUUUGAUGCCGCAGAGCUAUGGAGGCGAGUUUAUCCUUGGCUCUAAGGGGCCCUUGGCUGCUAACAUCUGGUGUGUUUCCCUGUCACCCUCUCUCCAUGCGGAGGGCCUGGGCUUGGUGGGCAAGAUGUUCUCUUUUACAACCGACUUGCCUUUGAUCUUCGAGACUGGCUUUCCCACUUAAACACCUGGCCGUGCUUAGCCCCGGCACAGCUCCACGCUUCUGCCCAGCAUUUCUUUUCUUUUUAGACACAGAUGGCCCCCACGCUGUGCGCACCCGCAACCAUGGUCUGCGCAUCGUCCCAGAACAUUCGCCACCCCCACCCCCCACCCCUGGCCGAUUCAGACAGGAUAAACUCUUAGGCAGAACCAUCUCUUACAACGUCAUUUUCCUCUCCGUGCCACUCCCCCACCAACCCCUCUCCGCCAUGUGAGCAGAGGCUGGGGCCCCUUAAAGCAGGAUUUCAGGAACAGCAGUGUGCGUUAUGAACUGUCUGAGCAUCGGAUCAGAAGAGUGGUGCUGAUCCAUAAAUGCGGGGUGGGCCUCAGAUUCUGAUGCCUGAUGGGCUCACAGGUGAUGUAGAUGCUAUUGGUCCAUGAACCACAUGUUGUGUUGCAAAGUCUUAGAUUACUUCGGAAAUAAUCUCCCCUCUGGCCCUCCCACCAGUAACAUUCCUGUCUCUUCUCCUUUCUCUUAACAGAACUUAACCACUUGAUGUUCUAAUUCUAUAGAAGUACCCUCUCUUCCCCUGUCUUGUGCCCUGCCCCCCUUGCCGUGGCUGUGACUGUUUCAUACUCAAGUGAUAAUAGCUGAUAGAUAAGCAGAGUAUAGGAUUUAUGCUGUGAUGACCACAUGAGAAUCACAUUUCCAGUUGGUGAGCUGUUACUGUUUUUAAUAUGUCCUGACAAUAUUCUCUGUUGGUAAGAAUUUUUAAAGAAAUCCUUUUGCGGACCAUGUAAAAUCUUUUUAUUCAUUUUCUCCCUCCACCUGUAAAAACACAGAGGACCACUGAGGUACAACCCAGUACUCAGGGCACCCAGACAUUAGGAAUAGCACCCUGUCCACCUGUGGUUAAGGCUUAGUUUGUGCCCACUGAACUCCAUUCCAUAGCUGAGACCAGUCUGUUCUGCUCAGGCUGGAGAAAAGCAACUUCCAUGUAGUAAGUCUGAUAACAUGAUUAAAAUAUUGUCUCUACAACUGGAUGCAGGCUGGCCUUUUUAACAGAUCCUCAAGGAUGUUGUUCGAAAUGAGCAUGGACAUUUGAAAUCUAGCUGCGGCAAUGGUGCUUUCUAGGAGGAAAUCUUUUUGCUGCCAUCGUUAAAUGAACUCUUUCCAUUGAUGCGUUGUGGUCAACAGACGUUGAGUUGAGAGUUUGAGUCAGUGAGAUUCAUUCCCUGGUUCCAUGGUUUUCCCUGUAUUAGUGAAACUUCUUUACUAGCUUUCCGUAUCUGUGUGGAAGGCAUAACUAUCCUGAUCAUUUAUGGGUGGUGUAUCAUAUGAUAGGCUCUGUAGACGUCACCUCUGGUCUUAGAACAGCCCUAGAAAGUGAUGUAAUGGCUGGUACAGCAUGGACACCAUCAGUGAGAGCAAACCAGCCUUUAUCGCGGGACAGGCCCUAGAAGCUCUGCUGUGCCCACAUGUCCCUUUAGUUCCUGGAUUGCACGGUGGCUCACGAUGGAUGAGCAGGUUCCUGGGAGGGGCUGGUUCCUCUAGAACAGUGGGAGGGUGCAGGCUCUGGAGCCUUAAGGCACUGGACCUGACCAUCUGGUGUGAAAGGACUUUGGUAUUAAACUGGUCCAUCCCCACAUGGCCAAUGAGAAUCCUGAACAUUCAAUGAGGUCCAUGGCCCAGGACCACACAGCCAGUGAGUGAUGCAGGAGUGUCUCACUCUGGAGCCCGUGACCUCACCCACUGAGCAGCCCUCCUUGAUAUGACGCAAGAUAAUGUGGGUGACAGUGGCUGCUGCCGUCUCAGGCAAAUGGUAGGCAGGCACUCAGUAAAUCUUAGUUUCUUUGCCCUUUGUUGACCCGGGGCCCCGUGCCUGGCUCUCUGGGGAAUCCAGAGCUGGGCUCUUAUUGGGGACUGGGGUGGGUGGAUGAAGCUCCCUGCUUUGACCUCUUCAUUACCCAGUGGGGCCUGGUGGGUGACUCAUGGGUUCCCAUUCUCCCAGCUGCACAGCCGUGCACGGGAGGUUUCUAGCUACAGGUUGGUGAAUCGUUCCAGGGCAGGAUGUUUACAGCCCCUGGAGGAAUGGGCACAGAAUCAAGCCAGCCCUCGCUUGGCAACCCCUGGCUGUUCUUUCCAGCCCAGGGCGCCCUGCCAAACCGACUCCGGAGAGGAAAACAGAACAAGUGCUGAUGUGCUUCCAUUUUAUAUAGAACAUAAUAAAAGUUUUCAGAAUGAUUUAUCACCCUAAACAAGAAAAUACAAUGGACGCCAUCCAUUAUUCAGCAUGCUAAUGAUAACCUUUGCUCUCUUGUCGAGGAUGAUCUAAGGUGGUGUUCAGUUGAAAUACAAAGAAUGCGCAGAGAACACACACACACACACACACACACACACACACACGUGCUGGAUCCCAUGGCAUUCCAUGCUGUGACAGUGAGGAAAUUAAUGGUAAAGAGAGGGGAUUUAAAACCAAGGGGCAAGGUAGGUUUCCACAGUCUCAACUUUCCAAGCAUCAUAAAAGCAGGUUUCUUUAAUUUUAGGUGAUUGACUUGGAAAUGUCCCCCACACAAAGUGAGUAUUGAGAACUCAUUGAAUGCUUUUUUGUGAUUUUUCUUUUUCCUUUUUUUUUCUUUCUUGUAAUUUUCAUAAAAUAUAUUUCUCCAAUGGACGUUAUUCAAGCCACAUGGAGAAGAAGGCCCAGGAUCGGAUCCUUUCUCAAGAUCCUCAUUCAUGGGUCAGUUGACACCUGUGUGUGGGGCAUGGGGGUUGUGGCCUGGCAUCCCACUGUCCCCUUUUUAGGGGAGAAACUGAGGGCUUUUCCUCUGAGAAUGGCAGUUAACUAGAAAAGAAGUUUUUUCGGGUUCUAAGCUAGUUUGGUAGAGGGGCAGACGCUUCCAUAUCUGAUGAAUGAGGACUUUUCCCCCAAGUCGAGAGUGAAUGGCAAUCCAAGUGAUUUCCACAUGUUUAGUGAUGCUCUGUGUACAUUAAAUGGAUGCCAAUAAAAUGAAAUCAGUGCAGAUAGCUGUUUGGAUUAGCACCAUAACUCAGGUAUUGGAAGCACCAGAUAUAAGUUCAUUUCUAUAUUUCCCUUUUAUUUUCAGCUUUUUAGCUGGUUUGUGGACCAAAGGAGCCUUCUUAUAGAGAGGAAUUUAGAGCUAUGCCCAGGAUGCCUGUUCCUCUCUUCCAGGAGAGGAUUAGAGAAAAUUUUUAAAAAUUAACAAAAGCAAAAGCUUUUGCUGAUUCCUUCAAGUGCCUUAUUGUCUAUGAAAAUGGAAGUAUCCCUAAAAAAUCUUAAUGCACUCAGCAGUUCCCCCAAAUUUCCUCCAUCAUGAUUUUUAGAUUUAUGAGUAAUAACAGAAGGCAGCAUUUCUCAGAUCUGAAUCACAGCAGAAUAGGCUGUACUUGGGAGCAGUUAGGACUUAGGCACAGCAGGUUGGCUGGGUGACCCAGACAGCUGGUCAACCUCAGCCAGGUUAUUAUUCCCUUGUGAGAAACAUUAUUGGUCAUUGUGAGUUUGGAAGAGAGCAACACAGGUAGAGUGUGUCGUGUGGUGCCCAGCCCAGAGGAAGCCUUCAAGAAAUCUUGCCCUUCUAUUACCUCCCC
rnacentral:lncRNA from 1 species